rnacentral:rRNA from 1 species
UGCAAGUCGAGCGAAUGGAUUAAGAGCUUGCUCUUAUGAAGUUAGCGGCGGACGGGUGAGUAACACGUGGGUAACCUGCCCAUAAGACUGGGAUAACUCCGGGAAACCGGGGCUAAUACCGGAUAACAUUUUGCACCGCAUGGUGCGAAAUUCAAAGGCGGCUUCGGCUGUCACUUAUGGAUGGACCCGCGUCGCAUUAGCUAGUUGGUGAGGUAACGGCUCACCAAGGCAACGAUGCGUAGCCGACCUGAGAGGGUGAUCGGCCACACUGGGACUGAGACACGGCCCAGACUCCUACGGGAGGCAGCAGUAGGGAAUCUUCCGCAAUGGACGAAAGUCUGACGGAGCAACGCCGCGUGAGUGAUGAAGGCUUUCGGGUCGUAAAACUCUGUUGUUAGGGAAGAACAAGUGCUAGUUGAAUAAGCUGGCACCUUGACGGUACCUAACCAGAAAGCCACGGCUAACUACGUGCCAGCAGCCGCGGUAAUACGUAGGUGGCAAGCGUUAUCCGGAAUUAUUGGGCGUAAAGCGCGCGCAGGUGGUUUCUUAAGUCUGAUGUGAAAGCCCACGGCUCAACCGUGGAGGGUCAUUGGAAACUGGGAGACUUGAGUGCAGAAGAGGAAAGUGGAAUUCCAUGUGUAGCGGUGAAAUGCGUAGAGAUAUGGAGGAACACCAGUGGCGAAGGCGACUUUCUGGUCUGUAACUGACACUGAGGCG